UCCCUGGUGGCUCAGGCAGUAAAGAGUCUGCCUGUAAUGCAGGAGAUGCAGGUUCGAUCCCUGCACUGGGAU
rnacentral:tRNA from 1 species